rnacentral:rRNA from 1 species
CCUACGGGAGGCAGCAGUGGGGAAUAUUGGACAAUGGGCGAAAGCCUGAUCCAGCCAUGCCGCGUGUGUGAAGAAGGCCUUCGGGUUGUAAAGCACUUUCAGUGGGGAAGAAAGCCUUGGGGCUAAUACCCUCGAGGAAGGACAUCACCCACAGAAGAAGCACCGGCUAACUCCGUGCCAGCAGCCGCGGUAAUACGGAGGGUGCGAGCGUUAAUCGGAAUUACUGGGCGUAAAGCGCGCGUAGGCGGUCUGAUAAGCCGGUUGUGAAAGCCCCGGGCUCAACCUGGGAACGGCAUCCGGAACUGUCAGGCUAGAGUGCAGGAGAGGAAGGUAGAAUUCCCGGUGUAGCGGUGAAAUGCGUAGAGAGCGGGAGGAAUACCAGUGGCGAAGGCGGCCUUCUGGACUGACACUGACGCUGAGGUGCGAAAGCGUGGGUAGCAAACAGGAUUAGAUACCCCAGUAGUC